rnacentral:lncRNA from 1 species
GCGAGGAUUACCAAAAAGAACAGAUCUUCGAUCUGAGCUUUUGAAUAUACCUUCGACAAUUAGAGCAGCUCAAUCUAAUUGCUAACAGAAUUCGUUAGCAAGCAUAAACUUGCAGCUACUGUGCUCGAUGUACGUCGAGCAGAGCACAUUCCAGUUCCUUACUUCUGUCCGAAGUGCAGCAAGGACCCAAAAGCAUCACUUCUGCAUUCUAGGACGAGAGCCAACGUCGACAACAAGCCCAGAAACUCCAGAAUCGCCACCAUGCACGGCAACUCCGACGGAGCCGUGAGUACCCAAAAUCACAAAUCAUUGAAAAUCGAUCAAUUUCAAAAAUUAAUUAUACACAGAUGUGGAUCUCGACGAGAGGAUUACGUUUCAUACAUCAGACAACCCAAACGGUGGCCGGAGUCGUCGGAAAAACCGGAAAUCGCCGGAAAAGCUUCAAGCUUCGAAUCUCUCUCCACGGUUCGUGCACGGACGAUCCGUGCCCACAGGCGCAUCAGCGUCAUUGAGACGAAGCGAACACCGGUGGUCCGCUGCAGUGAUAUGGCCGGAAGGCCGAGUUCCGGCCGGAUCUUAUUAUCGGGUCGCCGGUCUCUCUCGCAGGUCGAGAGUUCCUGCUUGUUCUGCAACGAUCUUAAUCG